AACGCACAUUGCGCUUCUGGGAAUUACCUGGGAGCAUGCUUGUUUCAGUGUCUGUGGCACCCCUCCAGUGGUCCCCACUGGGAGUAUGGGCGUCCGGCGCGUUAAAAACGCUGGUUGUCUGAAGUGCACCCGUGGAUGCCGCGGCCGAACAGUGCAGUGAUUCGGGUUGUCUUGAGUCCGUGAAUAACGACUUGCGUCCGCAAUACCAGCCUGGUGUGGUGGUGUGCCUGCAAUAUUGGCGCAACCCGCCCCAAGCGCGUUGAUGGGAGUCGUACAUCACACAUUGGACUUCAUGGCAGCUAUUCCAAACGGAUCGGUGCAGCCCCUGUUUGGCGUCCUGUGGCGUCGAGGCCCUCUCCUAAAAAAAGAGGACCCGCCCCCCACCAAACCCAACACACCAGACCUGAAAUCAAGUAGGAGAACCCGCUGAAUUUAA
rnacentral:misc_RNA from 1 species